rnacentral:rRNA from 1 species
AUUGAACGCUGGCGGAAUGCUUUACACAUGCAAGUCGAGCGGCAGCGCGGGGGCAACCCUGGCGGCGAGCGGCGAACGGGUGAGUAACAUAUCGGAACGUACCCUGUCGUGGGGGAUAACCUAUCCGAAAGGAUAGCUAAUACCGCAUACGUCCUGAGGGAGAAAGCGGGGGAUCGCAAGACCUCGCGCGAUUGGAGCGGCCGAUAUCGGAUUAGCUAGUUGGUGAGGUAAAGGCUCACCAAGGCGACGAUCCGUAGCUGGUCUGAGAGGACGACCAGCCACACUGGAACUGAGACACGGUCCAGACUCCUACGGGAGGCAGCAGUGGGGAAUUUUGGACAAUGGGGGCAACCCUGAUCCAGCCGAUUCCGCGUGAGUGAAGAAGGCCUCGGUUGUAAGAC